UACGAGGGGGGCGAGCGUUGUCCGGAAUUAUUGGGCGUAAAGAGCUCGUAGGCGGUCUGUCGCGUCGGCUGUGAAAACCCACGGCUCAACUGUGGGCUUGCGGUCGAUACGGGCAGGCUGGAGUUCGGUAGGGGAGACUGGAAUUCCUGGUGUAGCGGUGAAAUGCGCAGAUAUCAGGAGGAACACCGGUGGCGAAGGCGGCGACCUGGUCCGACACUGACGCUGAGGCGCGAAAGCGUGGGGAGCAAACAGG
rnacentral:rRNA from 1 species